CCUACGGGGGGCAGCAGUGAGGAAUAUUGGUCAAUGGACGAGAGUCUGAACCAGCCAAGUAGCGUGGAGGAUGACUGCCCUAUGGGUUGUAAACUUCUUUUAUAUGGGAAUAAAAUGUUCCACGUGUGGGAUUUUGUAUGUACCAUAUGAAUAAGGAUCGGCUAACUCCGUGCCAGCAGCCGCGGUAAUACGGAGGAUCCGAGCGUUAUCCGGAUUUAUUGGGUUUAAAGGGAGCGUAGGUGGAUUGUUAAGUCAGUUGUGAAAGUUUGCGGCUCAACCGUAAAAUUGCAGUUGAAACUGGCAGUCUUGAGUACGGUAGAGGUGGGCGGAAUUCGUGGUAUAGCGGUGAAAUGCUUAGAUAUCACGAAGAACUCCGAUUGCGAAGGCAGUUCACUGGACUGCAACUGACACUGAGGCUCGAAAGUGUGGGUAUCAAACAGGAUUAGAUACCCGUGUAGUC
rnacentral:rRNA from 1 species